GAUGAACGCUGGCGGCGUGCCUAAUACAUGCAAGUCGAGCGAACGGACGAGAAGCUUGCUUUUCUGAUGUUAGCGGCGGACGGGUGAGUAACACGUGGAUAACCUACCUAUAAGACUGGGAUAACUUCGGGAAACCGGAGCUAAUACCGGAUAAUAUUUUGAACCGCAUGGUUCAAAAGUGAAAGACGGUCUUGCUGUCACUUAUAGAUGGAUCCGCACUGCAUUAGCUAGUUGGUAAGGUAACGGCUUACCAAGGCAACGAUGCAUAGCCGACCUGAGAGGGUGAUCGGCCACACUGGAACUGAGACACGGUCCAGACUCCUACGGGAGGCAGCAGUAGGGAAUCUUCCGCAAUGGGCGAAAGCCUGACGGAGCAACGCCGCGUGAGUGAUGAAGGUCUUCGGAUCGUAAAACUCUGUUAUUAGGGAAGAACAUAUGUGUAAGUAACUGUGCACAUCUUGACGGUACCUAAUCAGAAAGCCACGGCUAACUACGUG
rnacentral:rRNA from 1 species